rnacentral:lncRNA from 10 species
AACACAGGGCUUGCAACUUAGCUCACACCCAACCAAUCAGAGAGCUCACUAAAAUGCUAAUUAGGCAAAAACAGGAGGUAAAGAAAUAGCAAGUCAUCUAUUGCCUGAGAGCACAGUGGGAGGGACAAGGACCAGGAUAUAAACCCAGGCAUUUGAGCCAGCAACGGCAACCUCCUUUGAGUCCCCUCCCUUUGUAUAGGAGCUCUGUUUUCACUGUGUUUCACUCUAUUAAAUCUUGCAAUUGCACUCUUCUGGUCCAUAUUUGUCACGGCUUGAGCUGAGCUUUCACUUGCCGUCCACCACUACUGUUUGCUGCUGUCACAGACCCGCCGCUGACUCCCAUCCCGCUGCUGACUCCCAUCCCUCCGGAUCCGGCAGGGUGUCCGCUGUGCUCCUGAUCCAGCAAGACUCCCAUUGCCACUCCCGAUAGUGCUAAAGGCUUGCCAUUGUUCCUGCAUGGCUAAGUGCCUGGGUUCGUCCUAAUCCAGCUGAACACUAGUCACUGGGUUCCACGGUUCUCUUCCAUGACCCGCGGCUUCUAAUAGAGCUAUAACACUCACCACAUGGCCCAAUAUUCCAUUCCUUGGAAUCCGUGAGGCCAAGAACCCCAGGUCAGAGAACACGAGGCUUGCCACCAUCUUGGAAGCAGCCUGCCACCAUCUUGGAAGUGGCUCACCACCGUCUUGGGAGUUCUGUGAACAAGGACCCCUGGUAACAUUUUGGCGACCACGAAGGGACAUCCAAAGCUCUUAACUAAUGCUUGUGAUGUUUAACGCCUGUCUUUUCAACUUGGUCUACUGAGUCUUCAAUACUGGUGACUGAGCUGCUUGAAGUGAACUCUGGACAAGGUGGAGAGCAUCUUCUUGAUUUAAGGUCUGAUAAAAACUAGCAGUCUUUCAAUUUAUCCAGUAAAAUGGGUCAUAACAAUACAACUAUAUGGUAUAUUUUGUUUCCAAAAUUAAAAACGUCCUAACAAUCACUGUGCUUCUAUUUUAGCAGUAGUGGGUAAAUGGAGCUACGAUCUUUAUUUUUUUUACCUUGGAAGAAAUAUCACACACAUACAUGUACACACAAUGACUCCUUGAAACUUUAUUUAGAAGGCAGACUCUGAGACUUAUCUCUCUCAGCAUUCAGAAUGUGUAAGUCUUGCCAACUCAUUCAGGAUAGCUCCUUUUUUUCUCACCAGGUCUUGACAUUAUAAAUGUUAUAGACCAAUACGCUAUGUUUGAGAGUAGUGAAAUGAUCAGUGUCCCUCUGGAUUAAUUCGGACCUUUAAUAGGAGAGUUGAUGUAACACAGAGGUAAGAAAAUGAGGGUCUACUGCUGUUCCCUGAUAGAUUUAAUCAAAUUACAUCUGGUGCUUUCUCUUAAAGAAUGGAGAAAAAGCCGUUAGCAGAUGGAGAGUUGCAUAUCAGGGGAUGCAUUAAUUUUCUCCGCAGUAAUUUUUCAGGACACGUCUGUACAGACCAGUUAAGUAAGCUAAA